UCCCCUCUGCUACUACUCAGCUCCUUCAAGGCUUCAACGACGAUGACCACACGGUCCCAUCUCCCAACUCAAACCUUCCUUCUCAUAUCUCAAUCCCCGAAACCAUCCAAAACUCCGUCCUCCUCCCUCUCUCUCCACAGGCAUUCUCUUCCCACCUCCACCUCCGACGCCGGCAUCCUUUUCCGCGAGAAAAUCGUCUACCUCGAGAACCUCAACGUCAAUUCCCACAAGGCCCUCCGACUGAACCCAAAUUUCCGCUCCACCCCUCUCUCCUCCCUCGUCUCCGUCGAGCACUGCCUCUUCUCAUUCGGUAUCGCCCGUUCAGCCAUUGGCCGCAUCCUCGACAUGCACCCCCAGCUUCUCACCUCCGACCCUCACUCUGACCUCUACCCCAUCUUCGAUUUCCUUCUCAACGAGGUCUCCAUCCCCUUCCUGGACCUCCCGAAGUCCAUUGUCCGAUGCCCCAGACUUUUGGUCUGCAGCGUGACAGACCAGCUGAGACCCGCCUUGUCUUUCUUGAGGGGCCUGGGCUUCGUCGGGCCCAAUUCCAUCACUUGCCAAACCACAUUGUUGUUGGUUUCCAGCGUCGAAGGUACCCUUUUGCCCAAGAUUCUGUUCUUACAGAGUUUGGGGCUUUCGUACGAGGAUGUGGUCAACAUGGUGCUGAGAUCACCUGGGUUGUUGACGUUUAGUAUAAGAAAUAAUUAUACGCCCAAGGUGAAGUAUUUCUUGGAGGAAAUGAAGGGGGACCUCAUGGAAUUGAAGAGGUUUCCGCAGUAUUUCUCGUUUAGUUUGGAGGGAAAGAUUAAGCCCAGGCAUAGACUUUUGGUCGAACACGGAUUUUCGCUUCCGUUGUCGGAGAUGUUAAAGGUUAGCGAUGGAGAGUUCAAUGCACGGUUGAUAGAGAUGAGGCUGCGGUCGGUCGAGGGCAGCUAAAAGAAUUUUGUUCAACUCUCUGGAGGGAGCAUAUUGUCAACUUUUGGGGUCAAGAAGAAUGGGAGCGAUUCUGGUAAUUAUGCACCUGCAGGGAGCUGCCUGUACAGGGGCCUAUCUUUCUGGUAUUCAAAUUUUCAGUUGUUGACGUGAUAAGGACGGGAUGUGCGUGGCAAAUCAUGUUUUUGGAAAGGCUGCUUUAGAGUUUAAACAAUGACCGUUACUUUUCUGCAUCCAGGUAUUAGUGGAAAUUGUUUCCAAAAGGAGUGCAUAACCAUGUGUUUGGGUCUCUUGUGGAACUGCUGGUCAUACCUAUUUCUGCAAUAUCCUGCAUAUAGCGUAAUCUUUAUUAUUGUUAUACUCUUAAGUCACCUCACAUUAAUUUGAAUUGCUCGGGUCAUUCUCUUGUUUUAUUUUAUAUGCGCCACUGCAUUAUGUCACAUAACGAAAUGUGGGAAAACCAUGGCCUCACCCUGUAGCGAACAGAGUUAUGUAAAUUUGAUACAAUAAAUAAUGUCGCCAAAUUUUAUUGGCUGGAUGGUCCUA